rnacentral:rRNA from 1 species
AAUCAACGCUGGCGGCGUGCCUCAGACAUGCAAGUCGAACGAUUAAGACUCUCUUCGGAGAGUGUAUAAAGUGGCGCACGGGUGAGUAACACGUAGGUAAUCUACCUUUGAGUGGGGAAUAACUUAGGGAAACUUAAGCUAAUACCGCAUAAUGCAGCGGCAUCUUCGGAUGACAGUUGUUAAAGGAGUAAUUCGCUUAAAGAGGAGCCUGCGGCAGAUUAGCUAGUUGGUAAGGUAAUGGCUUACCAAGGCUACGAUCUGUAACCGACCUGAGAGGGUGGUCGGUCACACUGACACUGAAUAACGGGUCAGACUCCUACGGGAGGCAGCAGUCGGGAAUUUUGGGCAAUGGGCGAAAGCCUGACCCAGCAACGCCGCGUGAAGGAUGAAGUCUUUCGGGAUGUAAACUUCGUAAGAAUAGGAAGAAUAAAUAGACGGUACUAUUUGUAAGGUCCGGGCUAACUACGUGCCAGCAGCCGCGGAAGAGUAGUACA